GAUGAACGCUGGCGGCGUGCCUAAUACAUGCAAGUCGAGCGAACAGACGAGGAGCUUGCUCCUCUGACGUUAGCGGCGGACGGGUGAGUAACACUUGGAUAACCUACCUAUAAGACUGGGAUAACUUCGGGAAACCGGAGCUAAUACCGGAUAAUAUAUUGAACCGCAUGGUUCAAUAGUGAAAGACGGUUUUGCUGUCACUUAUAGAUGGAUCCGCGCCGCAUUAGCUAGUUGGUAAGGUAACGGCUUACCAAGGCGACGAUGCGUAGCCGACCUGAGAGGGUGAUCGGCCACACUGGAACUGAGACACGGUCCAGACUCAUACGGGAGGCAGAAGUAGGGAAUCUUCCGCAAAGGGCGAAAGCCUGACGGAGCAACGCCGCGUGAGUGAUGAAGGUCUUCGGAUCGUAAAACUCUGUUAUUAGGGAAGAACAAAUGUGUAAGUAACUAUGCACGUCUUGACGGUACCUAAUCAGAAAGCCACGGCUAACUACGUG
rnacentral:rRNA from 1 species